GAAAAUAAUGUGAAUAUCGGCACUGACCAAAAGCCCCUGUCUCCGAUUCUCCAGCUUUUCAUUUUCCUUGGUUGGUGCACAAUCAGCCAAAACUCGGUACGGUCAACAGUAAUUACAGUGGGGACAAAAAAAGGAUCCACCUUAUGAGGAAGGUGAAGGACAAGAAUAGUCUCAGCAGAAUAUUCAACAUCUGGUCCAAGAUCACAGGAGUCCAGAUGACUGACCUCAGCUCUGUCUGGAAAAAAAAGAACCGUCCAGAAAGCCAGACAGAUUAUGAGCUGUUCUGACCACGACCUAAACCACGAAUUCUGUUUAACUCCCUCAGGACGGCGCUACUAUGCCCCUCGUAGAAAAACAACCAGAUAGACAAAUUAUUUUAUUCCUUCUGCCAUCAUGCCUCUUAACGCUGCUGUUUGCAGCAAGUAGACAUGGCCAGGCAUGGUGUUUAUUGUUUUAUUAAUUAUUUAUUCUCCAUGAUGACCUGAGUCUUUGCUGCUUUCUUUUGUCUUUUUUUUGUCCUUACAUGGUCAUUGAUUGCCAUUGAUUGAUAGCCUGAAUGUUUAUGUUUAUGGUUGUGAUUGUUUUUA